GUUAAGGUGGCAGAGCUCGGAUAUAGUGCAAAAGGCCUAAGCCCUUUUAACAGAGGUUCAAGUCCUCUCCUUAACU
rnacentral:tRNA from 1 species